GGGCAGGUACCCAAGCGGCCAAAGGGGACUGACUGUAAAUCAGUUGGCUCAGCCUUCGGUGGUUCGAAUCCGCCCCUGCCCACCU
rnacentral:tRNA from 1 species